AUGAACGCUAGCGGCAGGCCUCAUACCUGCCAGUCGAGGGGUAUGGGUUGCUUGCAACCCAGAGACCGGCGCACGGGUGCGUAACGCGUAUGCAAUCUACCUUAAUCAGGGGGAUAGCCCGGAGAAAUCCGGAUUAACACCGCAUAACAUUGAGUUGUGGCAUCACAGUUCAAUCAAAUAUUUAUAGGAUUAAGAUGAGCAUGCGUGACAUUAGUUAGUUGGUGAGGUAACGGCUCACCAAGACCACGAUGUCUAGGGGAUCUGAGAGGAUGACCCCCCACACUGGUACUGAGACACGGACCAGACUCCUACGGGAGGCAGCAGUAAGGAAUAUUGGUCAAUGGGCGCAAGCCUGAACCAGCCAUGCCGCGUGCAGGAAGACGGCCCUAUGGGUUGUAAACUGCUUUUGUACCGGAAUAAACCUUCUCUUGCGAGAGAAGCUGAACGUACGGUAAGAAUAAGGAUCGGCUAACUCCGUG
rnacentral:rRNA from 1 species